GUCGGUGGCCGUCCUCGAGUACCUCGCUGCUGAGCUCCUAGAGCUUGCCGGCAACGCGGCGAAGGACAACAAGAAGACCCGCAUCAUCCCGCGCCACCUUCUUCUCGCCGUCCGCAACGACCAGGAACUCGGCAGGCUGCUCGUCGGCGUCACCAUUGCCCAGGGCGGCGUGAUCCCCAACAUCAACUCCGUGCUGCUCCCCAAGAAGUCCCCCGCCGCGGCCGAGAAGGAGGCGAAGUUGCCC